rnacentral:sRNA from 1 species
GAGAGUGAUCUAGCUGCCAUAUCACGCCCCACAGUGUUGAUGUGGCUGACUUGGCUGCCUAGGCAGGUGCUCCCUUCCUCCAUAACUAGCCCAUGUACAUCUGUCCUGAAAGUACACACUUGAUGGAAGAGGAUGAUUGUCCCCAAAUGAAGAGGACCAUUACCUCUCUCAAUCAUAUACAAGUAUUGUGCUAUUGCACGGUCUAGUGCAAGUCUGUAUCAGGAAGCAGAUGGGCUUGCAUGGAAAGUCUAAAAGUGAAUGCUAGAAGACUGAAAGCUACGUGCUGAAGAGUCUGUGCUGU